AAAUAACGAACAAGCAUUGCUUCAAGAGAAGGUAAUUACAAGCAAACCCGAAUUUCCUAGAAGCAUCUGAUCCAAAGCUUAAUUACAUACGAAGUUUGCUUGUUAUAUAUAUAGAAAAAAGAAUUGGAUGCAUUGCUUAAAAAUAUGGACAAGAGGGGAAGACUAAGAAAGCGAUGAAAUUAUGGAAUUUGGGGUUAUGGAGGAAUCCACACAUCAUCGAGAAUGAGAAGAACCUUUUUGUCACAAAUUAAGGAACCUUCUUAUCACUGUGGAUCCUUCAUGUACAUCAUCCACCCCUGCACUUAACAAUAAAUCGAUUGAUUUUACACUGGAGUCUAAUCCAAC
rnacentral:lncRNA from 1 species